AGCCUUAGGCUCCACUCCAUAGUCCUUCAUGCCAACCCUGUCUUCCUUGAUUUUUAGCCAGUCAUAGGUAUAACCUUUUUCUCAUAAAUUUUGGUAUCCCAAGCCUCCAUCAGUCCCCUACAAUUCAUAAAAAUCUCACAUCUCAAAGCCUCCAAAAGUCCUCCAAAUCUUUCUCUUUUUCAGCCCUACAAACUACAACCUAAAAAUUUCAGCAAUCUUCUUCCAUCUUUCAACCUCUUUCAAACCCACUUCCCUUA
rnacentral:lncRNA from 1 species